CGGGAGUCGAAGUUGCGGCGCUCGUCGGGGAGCUUGGAGGCGGCGAAGUCGUUGCCCCAGAUGGAGUCGUUGAGGGAGAGGUUGGCGAGGCGGAGCUGGUCGCUGAACUGCCAGAAGGACUGCUGGUUGUUCUCCAUCUUCAAGGAACCACCCGUCGCGAGGCUAAGCUCGACGGCGCUUCUCGAGUGAGGCUGUAUGUGAAAAUGCAGAGCGAAAAACAGAGCAGAAACAGAGCAAAAAACAGAGAGAGUGGUGGAAGUGAGAAGGUGGUGGUUGAAUAAAGCAG
rnacentral:lncRNA from 1 species